CCUACGGGGGGCAGCAGUCGAGAAUCAUUCACAAUGGGGGGAACACUGAUGGUGCGACGCCGCGUGGGGGAAUGAAGGUCUUCGGAUUGUAAACCCCUGUCAUGUGGGAGCAAAUUAAAAAGAUAGUACCACAAGAGGAAGAGCCGGCUAACUCUGUGCCAGCAGCCGCGGUAAUACAGAGGUCUCAAGCGUUGUUCGGAAUCACUGGGCGUAAAGCGUGCGUAGGCUGUUUCGUAAGUCGUGUGUGAAAGGCGCGGGCUCAACCCGCGGACGGCACAUGAUACUGCGAGACUAGAGUAGUGGAGGGGGAACCGGAAUUCUCGGUGUAGCAGUGAAAUGCGUAGAUAUCGAGAGGAACAUUCGUGGCGAAGGCGGGUUCCUGGACAUUAACUGACGCUGAGGCACGAAGGCCAGGGGAGCGAAAGGGAUUAGAUACCCUGGUAGUC
rnacentral:rRNA from 1 species